CGCGAAACCGGAUCUGACGUUACCAUAGGGAGGUACUCCCUGCCCCUAGACAGGUACUGUUGUAGCUAGGGAAAGAUCCGACGAUUCCUCGGCCUUGUCCCCAGCCUUUACUUGCCUAUGUUCUACUCGGUACCCUCACCUGUACCUCACCGCAGUCGCCGGCUUUGAGUUAUGCCUUCUUUGCGUGUGCAGGAGUCGCCUUCACUUGAAAACAUCCGUCGAGACCUGCACAUUUAGUUUUGGUGGUUUUGACGCUGUGCGAAUGGCUGAGGCCGUCUCUGCGAUGCACUCUCAGCGCGUAGACUGUCAUUUUGUACGUUGGUGGUAACGACGUUUGCAGUGCCAACGCGGACCCUCAAGAAUAGGGAAGUUAGUUCUGCAACUGCAGCACGAUGUGGCCCCCGUGGUGUAUACGUCUUCAAAGUGCUGCCACGUUGCUCCAGCUCUGAAGACGCCGAUGCAGAGCGCCAGAUCAAGAAAACGCGCUUGCUGAACCGCAAGCUGACGGCUACGCUGAAACGCCUGCCGUGUGUUCGAAUCUUAAACGCCGAGCAUGUUGGUCUUCAUUCGAGAGCUGUCUCACCUUUGGAUGUUCAGAGGCAUCCACUUCCACCUUGAGCACCGCACCGUGCAGCCAACGCUCCGCGGAGCGUCUCUCGCGGGCGGCUGGGGCACGCAAGCGCAGUGACAACUGUAGGUGGUGCCUUCGCCGCGUCGUCUGCUAAAGCGCAGCGGCUCCGCCCAAUCGCGCUUGCUCUUCGAUGAAGGUAACUUAAUCUCAUGGAAAUCGAGAAGCGCAGCGACUGCGCCUCGUUCCGCACUGCUUUUUCUCCUACUGUUUUCUUUUUCUGCAUGCGAUCUUAAAAGUAAUAAACCUUGGCCCGUGCAUGAGUGAGAUCGCCAAGCCGGGCUGGCACUCCCGCAACUAAGCUACUCAGAUGCUUUGUGCCGUACAGUUAGAAUAUUCCCGCUACUCACACGGUUGUUUUCAUCA